GAUGAACGCUGGCGGCGUGCCUAAUACAUGCAAGUCGAGCGAACAGACGAGGAGCUUGCUCCUCUGACGUUAGCGGCGGACGGGUGAGUAACACGUGGAUAACCUACCUAUAAGACUGGGAUAACUUCGGGAAACCGGAGCUAAUACCGGAUAAUAUAUUGAACCGCAUGGUUCAAUAGUGAAAGACGGUUUUGCUGUCACUUAUAGAUGGAUCCGCGCCGCAUUAGCUAGUUGGUAAGGUAACGGCUUACCAAGGCAACGAUGCGUAGCCGACCUGAGAGAGUGAUCGGCCACACUGGAACUGAGACACGGUCCAGACUCCUACGGGAGGCAGCAGUAGGGAAUCUUCCGCAAUGGGCGAAAGCUUGACGGAGCAACGCCGCGUGAGUGAUGAAGGUCUUCGGAUCGUAAAACUCUGUUAUUAGGGAAGAACAAAUGUGUAAGUAACUAUGCACGUCUUGACGGCACCUAAUCAGAAAGCCACGGCUAACUACGUG
rnacentral:rRNA from 1 species